rnacentral:lncRNA from 1 species
UAUAAAAUCGUUUUCUUGUGUAGUCAGUUAAUAGUCCAUUUAAAUGCAUAAAACUAUUUGAAUCAAAUAUUAGUGUUUCAUGACCAUCUAAUCCUUUUGAUAACCUUUGUCAAACACACAUGUACAAUAUCAGUUUAUUUUUCUUUAUUCUUGCUUCAAUUAGCACAACAUCAUCAUUGUUGCAUGGACAUGAACUCAGACACAUGUCCAAGUUCGGCAAGAGGAGAAAAAGGAGAUACGGGGAUACAUAGAAAAAGAUAAUUUUAAUUAAAAAUAUCUUAGAAAAGAAAACACUAGAAGAUAUCACAUGAUAAAGUUUUUCAAUAUGCAUGUUUCUCAUCAAAAUUUCCUAAUUAUCUUAAGUAUUUUCAAAAAAAUGAGAUUUUGCAAAAUUAUUUUAAGGUUUACAUUUUUGACCGAUAUUUAAAAAGAAUAAAGUUAAUUUUUUUAUAUCUAAGUGUUUGACACAUAUCCGAACAUCAUAGACCUCCUUCUAAACACUGAUGUGCACCUUUCCCUUCAAAUU